GGCGCCAUCGUCUAGUCCGGUUUAGGACGCCGCCCUCUCAAGGCGGAGAUCACGGGUUCAAAUCCCGUUGGCGCUACCA
rnacentral:tRNA from 1 species